rnacentral:tRNA from 1 species
GGAGGGGUGGCCGAGUGGUCGAAGGCGCUUGACUCGAAAUCAAGUGUACGUUCACGCGUACCGUGGGUUCGAAUCCCACCCCCUCCG